GGACAUGAAUUGGGAGAAGCACACCAGCGUUCUGCAGGUGAUUGACUUUGUAAUCAGUAAAACCAUACGUCACCGCGUUGAACACGCUUUUUGUUGUUGCUGCAUCGCGCGCCCACUGCAAAAAUGCACGAUCAGAAGAAAAAAGAGAAACAGGUGCUAUCUCCUGAGGCAAAGGAGGCCGCCGCACGGGAGAACGAGCGUGUCGGUGCUCUGUACAAGUCCGUCUUGGCGUCGAGCAAGGCCCACGAGUACAACUCAACGACACUCGCGAAAACCGAGGAACUGCUGCUAGCCGUCCCGGAGGCCUACACGGUAUACAACUGCCGCCGCCUGGCCCUCGAAGCUGUAGCAUCAAUGCAGCCCUGCGCUGACUCAUCGGGGUCGGCCGCCGAGACGAGCAGUGAUGCAGCAGAGGCUACACCCGCCGCUAGCCGGCAACAGUGUCUUGUCCAGGAGCUCAAGUUCAAUUCAAAGGUGCUGCUGCUGAACUACAAAAAUUACAACGCCUUCCUACACCGGCACUGGAUCUUUGAUCAGCUGGAGGCGUUGGCCAAGCUGGAGAUGCAGCAGGCGACUGGACACGCUGCGGGCGCAGCUGCGAACGCCACUGCGCCUGGCACGUAUGAGCUGCUCUGCAGCCUCCUUCGCAAAGAGCGUGCGCAGUGCGAGCAGCUGCUGCAGAUGGACGAGCGCAACUUCCACGCCUGGAACUAUCGUCGCUGGGUCCUAGCGCAAGAGCUCCGCGCCACCCAGCUGGCGGAGGCCCACCGUCCUGCUCAUUCGCCGUUCGCGUCGGCGGAAGACGCAACGCGGCCCUCCACGUCCUCCACGCCGUCAUCGGCAUUCUUCUCCGCGGAGGAGACUGCAGAGCUCGCGUACACGACGCACAAGAUAAAGAGCAACUUCUCUAACUACAGCGCGUGGCAUCAGCGUUCGCUGGCCAUUAAGUCCGCUGUGGAGCGAUCUCAACGCCAGCAGCAGCAGCAGCAGGGCGUUGUCAGCACCCCCGGGGAUGCGCAACAACACCAGCAGGCGUGGCAAGCAGCACUUUUGGCGCAAUUGCGGGAGGACAUCGAAUUUUUGAAGCAGGCGGUGUACUGCGAUCCUAACGACCAGUCGGCGUGGUUCUACGCGCCUUUCGUAUUCCAACUGCUGCGCAGGCAAUACCACUACGAGGACGAGGAUGGGGUCGCGGCGGCGCUGGAGGAAUCCUUCAUGAAUGCCGUGAUCGAGCUCGUCGCCGAUGUGGAUAGGGUCUGUACGGAAGACGAGUGCUACAUGCCGCACUACUUCCUCCUCGAUCAGCUUGUGACGCUGCAAGCCGCGUCUCAGGGGACGGCGUUGCCGACGACGGCGGUGUUCGCAGUUCCCGGCACGCGCAGCAGCGCAUCUCUGAAGCGGCACAUCACAGCGCUGUGUGGAAAGGUGCCAUCGCUGCUGGCGUGUGCGAAUGGCGAGGUGGCAGGCGAUGGAGACUUGACGAACGCACGGCGGCGCUGCUUUCGAUACCUGCAUACGCGCCUGUGGAAAGUGGACACGCUGCGUCGAUGCCUUUAUGAUGAUUUGUUUCAGCGCGCUCUCGAGGGAUGCCACUCAUGAUUGAAGUCGCUUUUUCUCUGUCCUCCUCCUUCCCCUCUCCCCAACCUCCCUGCCAUCAUCCCUCGGACAGGAUGCAGGAUUGCUUCCUGGUGAACAGUUACCGUCGUGCAUGGCGUUUGCUAUGUUUGACGUGUCUUCUCCGUCCUACAAAAGAAACGAAAGCGAAGGCGUCAGAGGCGCCUUGGCAAGCGCAGGUCGGGAGGAGGGAGCGGCGCUGCGUCGAGUCGGAUUCAGUGGUGUUUGGCGUGCAGCAGCCAUGGCACACGUGCGCACGGGAGGGAGGUGCACCUGCAAGCGAGUGAGUCGCACCCAGCGACCUUGUACACGCGAAAGG
rnacentral:misc_RNA from 1 species